rnacentral:rRNA from 1 species
UACGUAGGGGGCAAGCGUUGUCCGGAUUUAUUGGGCGUAAAGAGCGUGUAGGCGGCCAGAUAGGUCAGCUGUGAAAACUCGAGGCUCAACCUCGAGAUGUCGGCUGAAACCAUCUGGCUAGAGUCCGGAAAGAGGAGAAUGGAAUUCCGGUGUAGCGGUGAAAUGCGUAGAUAUCUGGAGGAACACCGGUGGCGAAGGCGGCAUCCUGGACCGGUAUUGACGCUGAGGCGCGAAAGCCAGGGGAGCAAACGGG